AACGAACGCUGGCGGCAGGCUUAACACAUGCAAGUCGAACGCUCCGCAAGGAGAGUGGCAGACGGGUGAGCAACGCGUGGGAAUCUACCUGAUACUACGGAACAACAGAGGGAAACUUCUGCUAAUACCGUAUACGCCCUACGGGGGAAAGAUUUAUCGGUAUCAGAUGAGCCCGCGUAAGAUUAGCUAGUUGGUGGGGU
rnacentral:rRNA from 1 species